AGAACUCCACAUAUUAAUUUAAAGGAGCGAGUGUCUUGAGUUAAUGUAAUAAUAAUAAUAAUAAUAAGGGCAGUUUUGGAGUUAUUAUUUUUUUAAGCGAGUGAAAAUUACUGCCCGUGGUGGAAAAGGAUGAUUGAAUUGUAGUGAAAGAAAGUACACAUAUUAAUUCAAAGGAGUGAGUGUCUUGAGUUAAUGUAAUAAUAAUAAUAAUAAUAAUAAUAAUAAGGGCAGUUUUGGAGUUAUUAUUUUUUUAAGCUAGUGGAAAUUACUGCCCUUGGUGAGGAAAUAUGAUUGAAUUGUAGUGAAAGGAACUCCACAUAUUAAUUCAAAGGAGCGAGUGUCUUGAGUUAAUGUAAUAAUAAUAAUAAUAAUAAGGGCAGUUUUGGAGUUAUUAUUUUUUUAAGCGAGUAUAAAUUACUGCCCGUGGUGAGGAAAUAUGAUUGAAUUGUAGUGAAAGAAAGUACACAUAUUAAUUCAAAGGAGUGAAUGUCUUGAGUUAAUGUAAUAAUAAUAAUAAUAAUAAUAAGGGCAGUUUUGGGGUUAUUAUAUUUUUAAGCUAGUGGAAAUAACUGUCCAUGGUGGAAAAGGAUGUUUGAAUUGUAGUGAAAGGAACUACACAUAUUAAUUCAAAGGAGCGAGUGUCUUGAGUUAAUGUAAUAAUAAUAAUAAUAAUAAGGGCAGUUUUGGAGUUAUUAUAUUUUUAAGCUAGUGGAAAUUACUGCCCAUGGUGAGGAAAUAUGAUUGAAUUGUUGUGAAAGGAACUACACAUUAAUUUAAAGGAGCGAACGUCUUAACCAAAUGUAAUAAUGAUAAUAUGGGCAGUUUUUGGGUCUAUUUAUUUAAGACUAUCGAAAAUUACUGCCUGAGGUGAAGGAAGGUGAUUGACAGGUGAUGAAAACUACGCAUUAAUUUGAAGGAACAGUUGUCUUAAGUAAAUAUAAGCAUCGUAAGGGCAGUUUCGGGCUCAUAAUAUUUUAGUUUCUUAUUUUUUUUAUGAUGAUUGAAAAUAUCUACCAGUGGGGAAAGCAACUAUUAAUUUAAAAGAACGAUUAUCCGAGUAAAUGGUAACAGUAAUACUAAUGGCAGUUUCGGGGUCAUGGUGUGUUUGUUAAGAGUGGAAGUAAGUCGAAAGGAGGAAAGGGAAAAGAAAAGAGAGGAAAGCAGAAGGGUAGAGGAGGAUAGAAUAAGAGGAAAGGGAUGAUUCUGUGCGCAUGAGUGAAAGUAAGGGAGGAAAAAAAAAUUACCCCUGAGUUACGUUUUCGUGUGUUUGGGAUGACGAUGCACACUUUCACUACCCGGCCUUGUAUCAACACUUACACAGAGCAUUGACGUAGGGUGAUGGCCAGUUCGCACGCACCCUUCCUAGUACUCAUCGUAAAAGAUAAUUUAAAAAAACGAUUGUCUGAGUAAAUGUAACAGUAAUAAUAAUAGCAGUUUCAGGGUCAUAAUGUGUUUGUUAAGAGUGAAACUAACUGUGGUGUGUUAUGAUUCAGUUCGCACAAAUGAUAAUAAGAGAGAAAAACGAAUGACCCCAAAGUGACGUUUUCGUGUGUUUUGGGAUGACGAUGCACACUUUCACUACCCGGCCUUGUAUCAACACUUACACAGAGCAUUGACGUAGGGUGACGGCCAGUUCGCACGCACCCUUCCUAGUACUCAUCGUAAAAGAUAAUUUAAAAGAAUGAUUGUCUGAGUAAAUGUAACAGUAAUAAUAAUAGCAGUUUCAGGGUCAUGGUGUGUUUGUUAAGAGUGAAACUAACUGUCUGUGGUGUGUUAUGAUUCAGUUCGCACAAAUGAUAAUAAGAGAGAAAAACGAAUGACCCCAAAGUGAUGUUUUCGUGUGUUUUGGGAUGAUGAUGCACACUUUUCACUACCCGGCCUUGUAUCAACACUUACACAGAGCACUGACAUAGGGCGAUGGCCAGUUUGCACGCACCCUUCCUAGUACUCAUCGUAAAAAAUAAAUAAGAAUAGAAAAAUUGCUCUAGUACGUUCCAGCGACUGACAAAAUUCUCACUAGAUGGCAGCAGCUUCAGCCACGUCCUUCCUCUAAUCCAGACUGUGUUAUGUCAUGUCCACCUGAUGUAUGUUCACUCAAGGGGGAUAAAUAAUAAUCAAACGCACAUUCUUUAUCAGCUUGUUAUGAUUUAUUGAUAAUUACCGAAGAAUUAAUGACAAAACUCACGUCAGGAUAAGCCAGUUGUAGCCUCGGAGGUAAGGGAACGUAGGGCGAGGGGGUAGGAUAAGCAUUGUUUUUGAGUCGCUGAAACGGACUAUAGCACUGUACCCUUAAAAGAAAUUGAGCUGAGGUGUGAAAAAUUAACUAUUGCCAAAGUAAGUAUACCAGUCUUUAUUUUGACAGGAAGUUCGUUUUUAUCCCCCAGUCCAGUUAAGGGAUAUAUAUACAUGGUUUUAUUCUUAACAUGAGGAUGAAGUGAAAAUUAACUAUCGCUAAAGUAAGUAAUAUCUACCAGUCUUUAUUUUGACAGUAAGUUCGUUUUUAUCCCCCAGUCCAGUUAAGGGAUAUAUACAUGGUUUUAUUCUUAACAUGAGUACGCAGUGAAAAUUAACUAUCGCUAAAGUAAGUAAUAUCUACCAGUCUUUAUUUUGACAGUAAGUUCGUUUUUAUGCCCCAGUCGGAUUAAGGGGUAUACAUGGUUUUAUUCUUGACAUGAGUACGAAGUGAAGUGGUGCAUACAUAUUGGCUGCCGUACCCUAACCACUAACACAGGCUGGAAGAACCGAUUACCCAGCCAGAAUGCAUUACUAUAGAGGUCUUUCUCCACCAAAUUCACCAUCUCGUCCUUUCCUUCCUCCUCUUCCACGGUGCCACAUAACCAGUGCAGUUGCAGCGCCAUGUUCCCUUCUAUAAUUCCUUCCCCUUCUGUCUCUCUCCGGCAUAUGACCACAGAUGUUUUGCCCCAACUAAACGAAACUUUCAACUUUCCUCCUCCUCCUCCUCCAAUGAAGCCUGUAAAUAAUUCUGGGGGGUCGGGGAAAAAGAAAAAACUAAACUAAGGGAAAUGUGCUUCAAAAGUUGGUGUAAGAAAUAUUUAACCGACUAAUUUAUUGUUGACGCUUCCUUGUCGUAGAGGUGAGCUUGCGACCCGACCGACCGACCGCUGACUGAUUUGACGGAGCGCUUUGUCCUCAUAUCCUCGCGCCACUGACUCCUCCGCUUGUGUCCCUUCGUCCGUACAAACUGUUGAUCACGCUGAAACUAUGUACUUGCUGCCCAAGGUCCGUUUUCAGUGUUGACAUUACGAUAGUUUACACAGUGUUGAGAGUGUCCGAGAGAGAGAGAGAGAGGGAGAGGGAGAGGGAGUGUGUAUGUGUGAGAGAGAGAGUUUGUGUGUGUGUGUGUGUGAGAGAGAAAAAGAGAGAGAGAGACGCACAAUAUAUGAGUAAAUGAUAAAGAAAGAGAUAGAAAGGAGUGACCAAGGGUGGCAGAGAGAGAGAGAGAGAGAGAGAGAGAGAGAGAGAGAGAGAGAGAGAGAGAGAGAGAUUAAGGUAUGUAAGGAUGAAGUGCUUGGAGUAUGUAAUUCCCUCUUAGGCUGCACCACUUCAAGAAAAUAUGAGUAAGCAAGUCGCAGUAUAAAGAUAACAUAAUAUUUCACAGGCUGUCAUGUUAGAUAAGUAUGGAUGAUAUUGUGGAUGAGAAUUAAUGUGUAUCUGUAGGGAGGUGGGAUGUAUGUAUGUAUGUGUGUGUGUGCGUGCGUGUGUGAAAACUAACUCUUUCCGGCUUUGGUGUGUGGGUGUGUGAUAGAAUUAAGACAUGGUGAAGGCUUGUUACCAUUUGAUACGAUUUUUUAGUGUGCGUGUGUGUGUUACUUUUUCCAAACACCGUGUGAGCAAUGUGGGACGUUCCGAGAUGUUACCGUAUAGAUGGCAGCACUGGUCUCUUCGUUUCUUUGGUCUGGAGUUAAUUAUUGGCCCUUAUUCAAACAUUUCCGAGCUUACACACCCACAUUUGACAAGGCUUUCAUAGAGGUUGUGGGUCCUUCCAUGGGUAGUUUUAUGAGCCUAGUGAUAGUUUGAGAAGGCUUCUAUACUGUGAAUGUGAAAAACAACUCAUGGAAACCCAACUCACCUCCUUUGUGGCCUUAGAAAAUAGGUGUUGUGAAAACCAAAAAUGUCCAAGAAUACUAAUGCCUGAUUUUUUUUAAACGUGGUAUCAGUAUUUAUCAACAGUUAAUCCACUAGUUUGUUUUCUUAGCCUGGCAGCAGCGACAGGCCAAAUUUCCCCUCCCAAGGUGCAUGACUUUACAUUUUUCUUCAUUGAAUUGUAGCAGCCACUCUUUGUUUCAUUCCUGUAGCUUGGUGAUGUCUUCUUGUAGGAAAUCCCUAGUCAGUGGGUUAAGGAAGACUAAUACGAAUUUCAUAAUGUCAGGCAUAAGUCGCUUUUCCAGACACAAGGGCCAGUGCUGCCCUCUACACGGAAGCAGCUUUGAAGAGUCCACACUUCAAUCCACAAUAACUUAGUUAAACUGAUCGUCAGGUGGAGGUGAUACUGUACUACUUAAUGGCUAAGCUGUUUGUGAUUUUUUAUAUAUAAUGAUCAUUCUGGUGAUAAACAAAAACCCUGCAGUAUGUUGACGUGGAUAUGUUUUUUGAUAGAUGAUUGAUUAUGUGUGUGUUUUGGGUGAUUUUAUGUGUGUAUGUGAGACUGGGGUGGGGGGAUGGGGGUGGGGGAAUUAAUUGGAGAAAGAUAAUAUUAUAGUAAAAGAAAUCAAAGAAAGGUAUUAAUAUUCAUAGUCACUGCACACUAAAUUUGUCCAGCAGCCGUGCCCCCUCUCUCCCUCUUUCCACGAACUCCUCUACAAGCUCCUUUCAGACAACCAAUCAGCUCCUGUAGUUAUGGAAGAAGGGGCUGGGCUUUUUGGGUUAGUUUAGUGUACAGUGACUAGCAAGGGUGGAAGGGAGUGGAAGGGGACCAAGCAAGGGUAGGGGAACAGAUACAAGGAAAAAAGAAGAGUAAGGGAGAUGAUGAAGGGAAAGGAGAGAGAAAGGGAAACAAGAGGGAAGGUUUAAGUGAAGAGGAGACAGAUGGGAAGUAGAAAGGAAACGGGAGAGAGGAGAAAAAACAGGAAAAUAAGGGAGAGAGAGGGAAACAAGAGGGAAGGUUUAAGUGAAGAGGAGACAGAUGGAAAAUAGAAAGGAAACGAGAGAGGAGAAAAAAUAACAGGAAAAUAAGGGAGAAAAAGUGAAGGAGAGAGAGGGAAACAAGAGGGAAGGUUUAAAUGAAGAGGAGACAGAUGGAAAAUAGAAAGGAAAUGGGAGAGAGAGGAGAAAAAAACAAAAAAACAAGAAAAUAGGGGAGAGAAAGUGAAGGAGAGGUAGAUGACAAGGAAGAUGGGAAAGAUCUGAUUGUGUGAAGGAUAGUGAAAGUGAUGAUAUAGACUUGUGAGGGUGAAGACACAGUUAUGAUGGUGUGUGUGUGUGUGUGUGUGUGUGUGUGUGUGCUGGGGGGUUGUCGCUGUCAUGAGUCGUGGGGUUGAGUCAUAUUCACCAGUGUUGUGCCUUUUCAUUCCAGUGUACAUUUCAUCUGUAAAUAGUAUGAAAUAAACGAUAAAUGAGUCCUC